GAACGCUAGCUACAGGCUUAACACAUGCAAGUCGAGGGGCAGCAUUUCAGUUUGCUUGCAAACUGGAGAUGGCGACCGGCGCACGGGUGAGUAACACGUAUCCAACCUGCCGAUAACUCGGGGAUAGCCUUUCGAAAGAAAGAUUAAUACCCGAUGGUAUAAUCAGACCGCAUGGUCUUGUUAUUAAAGAAUUUCGGUUAUCGAUGGGGAUGCGUUCCAUUAGGCAGUUGGUGAGGUAACGGCUCACCAAACCUUCGAUGGAUAGGGGUUCUGAGAGGAAGGUCCCCCACAUUGGAACUGAGACACGGUCCAAACUCCUACGGGAGGCAGCAGUGAGGAAUAUUGGUCAAUGGGCGCAGGCCUGAACCAGCCAAGUAGCGUGAAGGAUGACUGCCCUAUGGGUUGUAAACUUCUUUUAUAUGGGAAUAAAGUUUUCCACGUGUGGAAUUUUGUAUGUACCAUAUGAAUAAGGAUCGGCUAACUCCGUGCCAGCAGCCGCGGUAAUACGGAGGAUCCGAGCGUUAUCCGGAUUUAUUGGGUUUAAAGGGAGCGUAGGUGGACAGUUAAGUCAGUUGUGAAAGUUUGCGGCUCAACCGUAAAAUUGCAGUUGAUACUGGCUGUCUUGAGUACAGUAGAGGUGGGCGGAAUUCGUGGUGUAGCGGUGAAAUGCUUAGAUAUCACGAAGAACUCCGAUUGCGAAGGCAGCUCACUGGACUGCAACUGACACUGAUGCUCGAAAGUGUGGGUAUCAAACAGGAUUAGAUACCCUGGUAGUCCACACAGUAAACGAUGAAUACUCGCUGUUUGCGAUAUACAGUAAGCGGCCAAGCGAAAGCAUUAAGUAUUCCACCUGGGGAGUACGCCGGCAACGGUGAAACUCAAAGGAAUUGACGGGGGCCCGCACAAGCGGAGGAACAUGUGGUUUAAUUCGAUGAUACGCGAGGAACCUUACCCGGGCUUAAAUUGCAUUUGAAUAUAUUGGAAACAGUAUAGCCGUAAGGCAAAUGUGAAGGUGCUGCAUGGUUGUCGUCAGCUCGUGCCGUGAGGUGUCGGCUUAAGUGCCAUAACGAGCGCAACCCUUAUCUUUAGUUACUAACAGGUCAUGCUGAGGACUCUAGAGAGACUGCCGUCGUAAGAUGUGAGGAAGGUGGGGAUGACGUCAAAUCAGCACGGCCCUUACGUCCGGGGCUACACACGUGUUACAAUGGGGGGUACAGAAGGCAGCUACCUGGUGACAGGAUGCUAAUCCCAAAAGCCUCUCUCAGUUCGGAUCGAAGUCUGCAACCCGACUUCGUGAAGCUGGAUUCGCUAGUAAUCGCGCAUCAGCCAUGGCGCGGUGAAUACGUUCCCGGGCCUUGUACACACCGCCCGUCAAGCCAUGAAAGCCGGGGGUACCUGAAGUACGUAACCGCAAGGAGCGUCCUAGGGUAAAACUGGUAAUUGGGGC
rnacentral:rRNA from 1 species